AGGUUGAGAAUUUUCAGAUUUUUAUCCACAAAAAGGUACCACUAGUCAUCAAUAUUCCGGCCGCCACCACCCACCACCGGAAAACACCAUAGCAGCACCAAACACCACCGUUCAACCACCUAAAACGACCAACAGCGAACCAGACCCUAUUUCCGACCAACAAUAACAAAAAACAAGCAGAAAUCAACCCCCAAAACCACCACUCCAUUCACUGUAAAAAGACUACAACCCCCCAAACUCCAUUUUCCGUUUUUCUCCAUAGCCACCGAAACCAACAAGCUCCAAACCAACCAACAAAAUCACCAUCCGAAUCCAACUGGCCUUAUUCUUACUGCACGGACAGAUCUGGAAAUGCAUCACCAUGUCGGAAUCCGACUAUCCACCACCAAAACCCCAUUCCCGUUUUCCCCUUUUGCUCGCUGCGACAAGUAGCUCCGGCGAGGAGCUUCGAAACUCCGAUGAACCGGACCAAAAAAAUAAGAACGAUGGUCAGUCCCCUUCCCCUUUGCCCUUUCAAUUUUAUUUUAUUUUUGUUUAUAUUUACAGGUAUUUCGGUCCAAACUCCGGUGAAAAACAACCAGACCCACAUCGUUGCUUCAGUUUCGGUGAAAUAACAGCCAACGUACCAUCGAUGUAAGCAUAUGUUUCCUUUUUUUUUGUUUUUUGUUUUGAUGUUGUUACUCUUCUAGAUUUCACUGAAAAAGAGAGCUUCAGCGAGUUCCGUCCUUAAAUCUCCAUUAUUUUGC
rnacentral:lncRNA from 1 species